AUGACAGAAAUUCAAGGGAUGUUGGGAAGUGAAAUAUCUACAAGACUCACCAAGGUGCCCACUUUGAUGGCUUGUUGUACUAGUGCCUUUGAUCUCCAUCAUAGAAAAUGCUCUGCUCCAUUUCCAAAGAGAUUGUCAGGUUCUGCAAGUCAGGAAUCCAUUUGUGGCUUAGCUGGGUCCUUUGGAAAGAAUCAAGAUGUCUACCAGAUUGAAAAAAAAAAAGAAAUUCUGCCAUUCGCAACAACAUGGAUGAAACUUGAGGGCAUUAUGCUUAGUGAAAUAAAUCAAGCACAGAAAGAGAAAUACCAUAUGAUCUUACCUAUAUGUUAA
rnacentral:lncRNA from 1 species